rnacentral:rRNA from 1 species
AGCAGUAGGGAAUCUUCCACAAUGGACGAAAGUCUGAUGGAGCAACGCCGCGUGAGUGAAGAAGGGUUUCGGCUCGUAAAACUCUGUUGUUAAAGAAGAACAUAUCUGAGAGUAACUGUUCAGGUAUUGACGGUAUUUAACCAGAAAGCCACGGCUAACUACGUGCCAGCAGCCGCGGUAAUACGUAGGUGGCAAGCGUUGUCCGGAUUUAUUGGGCGUAAAGCGAGCGCAGGCGGUUUUUUAAGUCUGAUGUGAAAGCCUUCGGCUCAACCGAAGAAGUGCAUCGGAAACUGGGAAACUUGAGUGCAGAAGAGGACAGUGGAACUCCAUGUGUAGCGGUGGAAUA